UACGUAGGUGACCAGCGUUGUCCGGAUUUACUGGGCGUAAAGGGCGCGUAGGUGGCCUGCUAAGCGUGCGGUGAAAGUCGGGGGCUCAACCCCCGAUCGGCCGUGCGAACUGGGAGGCUUGAGCACUGUAGAGGCAGGCGGAAUUCCGGGUGUAGCGGUGGAAUGCGUAGAGAUCCGGAAGAACACCGGUGGCGAAGGCGGCCUGCUGGGCAGUUUUGCUGACACUGAGGCGCGACAGCGUGGGGAGCAAACAGG
rnacentral:rRNA from 1 species